ACAUGCAAGCAUCUCAACACGCUGGGCGCCAAGGCCGUGCUGGCCUUCUCGACCACCGUGCCGCUCUUGGAGAUCGCCUUCGCCGUCCUGCUCCUCCCCUACCUCCUCCUGGCCACGCUCGCCUUCUCGCAGCGCCCCGGGAAGCCCAACCCGUCCUUGCCCAUCUUCCUUGUCCUCGCACGCCUCCUCCUCGCCGCACACACCGUGGCCGGGUUCCUUGUUGGGGCCGCGCUCCCGUUGCUCUACGUCCUCGACGGCCUCCAGUCCGCGAACACCACGGGGAUCGCCGCCGAGGCCCCGCACGCGUUCCUGCUCUCCGCGCAGGUCUUCAUCGAGGGGCUCACCGCCGCGGUCCCGUGGCGGUUCUCGCUCUCCGUCAGGGCCGCCGUACCGGUCAUGUACAACGCGCGCAGGAUGUUCGCGGCAGGGUAGUGGCUCCAGCAUGAGAUGGAGGGGGUGACUGCGGCGACGGGAAGGGAAGGGUGCGGAGCGGCAGGAGGUUGGGCUGGUCGACGAGUUCCCCUGCGGCGGCGGCGGCGUAGGAAACCUAGUGCGUGCAAGGGUAAUCAAGGAGAAGAGCUGCUCUCAGGGUUGUUUAGAGCGUUUUUUUCUCUCUGGGAGGGUGAAAAUCGGUGGAAUCGGAGUGAGGGGUGGAAGGUGGGGGACGAAAAAAAUCAGACGAAAAAAACCAGAUGA
rnacentral:rRNA from 1 species